rnacentral:siRNA from 1 species
CAUCAGCGUGCUCCGGGCGU